AUUGAACGCUGGCGGCAUGCCUUACACAUGCAAGUCGAACGGUAACGCGCCUUCGUUUGCCGUCUGGCGUCAAACGGGGGAGUAAUACAUCGGAACGGGCCCGAUCGUGGGGAGUAAGGAGUCGAUUGCGUUGCCAAUACCUCAUACGAGCUACGUAAUACAGCAGGGGAGUGCAAUACCUUACGCGGGCUUUGCUGUCGAUGGCAGAUUAGCUAGCUGGUGGGGUAAAAGCUUACCAAGCCGACGAUCUGUAGCUGGACUGUGAGGAUGAUCAGCCACACUGGGACUGAGACACGGCCCAGACUCCUACGGGAGGCAGCAGUGGGGAAUUUUGGACAAUGGGCGAAAGCUUGAUCGAGCAAUGCCGCGUGAGGGAUGAAGGCCUUCGGGUUGUAAACUGCUUUUAUAAGGGAAGAAAAGAUUUGUAAGAAUACAUGAGGGUCAUGACGGUACCGUAAGAAUAAGCACCGGCUAACUACGUG
rnacentral:rRNA from 1 species